GAAGAGGGUUGUGGGUGUAGUGGAGGCAGAGAGGGGGAUUGGAGGAAAUGCACAUGGGUGUGUGACAUGGGGGUCAGCAAGAGAGAUGGGAGUAGGAAGCAGGGACACCUUAUUCCAAGUCUAGCCUCUGGAUCUCACUGAGCCACUGUGCCCCCCCCCCCGUGCUGUGUAACACAGUUCCUAUUGAUAGUGUAUGUUGGCCCUUAGCUCUUUUUCAGGGGUUUAGCUGGUUUAUAGCAUCAGUGGAUGCCAUGUUGUGCCCUAGUGCCUGCAGCAUGGUGGUUUUUGUAGCACAGAUGGAAUGAGGCAUUUUGGUAAGUGGAGUGGAGAUGAAGGGUGAUAUGCCCUCACAAGCAAUGAGAGAGGGUUUACCUCUCCAUUGCCUAAAUGAAGGAACAAUUUCCACCUCCGUCUUGGAUUGUACUGGGGCUAAGGUGCAUCAAAUCCAUUUCUGGUGGCGCAGCUCAUGUGAGAGGAUUUGACUGGAAGAUUUCACCGUAAUAAAGGAGCAGGAUGCCAUCACUUCAGCUUGACUAUCCCUGUAUGUAGUCUUCUAACUUGUAGAAUGUGGCUUUGCCUAAACACAUGAAUAAAAUCUAAUUUUC